rnacentral:lncRNA from 1 species
CCGGGACACCAACACCAUCAGGUUGCUCUCCUUGUCCACGCGGUACCGCCGUACGUACACGUAGUCCCGGGAGUACAUGGGGUACGGGAAGUGCGUGACCCAAUGGAUCACCUCGGAUCCGGUGGCCGCAUCCCUCUCUAUGACGUCCAGUUUGAUGACCAACGAGUCCCAUUUCUUCCUGUAUUCGGUGUCCAGCUGCACAUUGAAGAACUGCCGGGGGGUCACAUCCGUGUACGUCCCAAACACUCGGUAUUGGUACAGAUGGGUGCCCUCGAUGGGCCGCCGCCACAGCUUGAAGUGCUUCUUAUCCAUCACCAUCUCCCAGGGCUGCUCGCCGGGGGGGGGGGGACGCGGCGUCCCGCUCUGCGGUGGGCUCCACGUGGGGGUCCUCAGCCAAAGCGCCGCCCUGCAGUGGGACGGCCGCGUUCUGCAUGCGCUGCAUCUCCUGGGCUGAGCGCUGCAGCUCCUCCUCCUCGAUGCGCUGCCCGUCCCACACGAAGACCCCGGCCAGGGUGGCCAUGAGGCGGCCGGUGGCGGCGGCGAGGGCGGGGCGGCCGCGGAACGCCCCCCCCCGCCACCACUCACCCCACCCCCCUCCUCCUCCUCCUCCGCCUCCUCCGCCGCGCCGCGCCCCCUCCGCUCCGCCGCCGCUGCCGAGCUGCCAGGCCCGCCGCGCCCUCCGCGCCCGCUGCCCGCUCACGCAGCCGCACUGCCGCGCCAGCAGGCCCAGCAGGCCGCGCCGCCCCGCCUCACCGCCGCUAGGAGAGGCGGAGGGAGGCGGGCGGGGCCCAGGCGGGAGGCCCGGGCGCAACGGGCGAGCAGGCCGAGCAGCGGCCGCCGCGGCUGCAACAUGCCGCCGCUCUGCGCGGGCCGCGUCGCGCCCCCUUGUGCGUCAUCAGGCGGCGACGCGCCGCCGAUUGGAUGCCGGGGUCUCCGCCACGCCCAUUGGGUGAUACCGCCACCGCCCCGCGCGCUG